rnacentral:rRNA from 1 species
CCUACGGGGGGCUGCAGUGGGGAAUAUUGGACAAUGGGCGAAAGCCUGAUCCAGCAAUGCCGCGUGAGUGAUGAAGGCCUUAGGGUUGUAAAGCUCUUUUACCAGGGAUGAUAAUGACAGUACCUGGAGAAUAAGCUCUGGCUAACUCCGUGCCAGCAGCAGCGGUAAUACGGAGGGCGCUAGCGUUGGUCGGAAUUACUGGGCGUAAAGCGCACGUAGGCGGUUUUUCAAGUCAGGGGUGAAAGCCAGGAGCUCAACUCCGGAAUUGCCCUUGAAACUGGAUGACUAGAGUCUUGGAGAGGUCAGUGGAAUUCCGAGUGUAGAGGUGAAAUUCGUAGAUAUUCGGAAGAACGCCAGUGGCGAAGGCGACUUACUGGACAAGUAUUGACGCUGAGGUGCGAAAGCGUGGGGAGCAAACAGGAUUAGAUACCCCGGUAGUC